AAAUUGAAGAGUUUGAUCAUGGCUCAGAUUGAACGCUGGCGGCAGGCCUAACACAUGCAAGUCGAACGGUAACAGGAAGCAGCUUGCUGCUUCGCUGACGAGUGGCGGACGGGUGAGUAAUGUCUGGGAAACUGCCUGAUGGAGGGGGAUAACUACUGGAAACGGUAGCUAAUACCGCAUAACGUCGCAAGACCAAAGAGGGGGACCUUCGGGCCUCUUGCCAUCGGAUGUGCCCAGAUGGGAUUAGCUAGUAGGUGGGGUAACGGCUCACCUAGGCGACGAUCCCUAGCUGGUCUGAGAGGAUGAC
rnacentral:rRNA from 1 species